GAUGAACGCUGGCGGCGUGCCUCAAACAUGCAAGUCGAGCGAGGCUAUGAAUUACCGCAAGGUAAGGCAUAGCCUAGCGGCGAACGGGUGGGUAACACGUGGGUAACCUACCUGGAAGACAGGGAUAACGAUUCGAAAGGGUCGCUAAUACCUGAUAAUAUCCGUCUGCCGGAUGGCGGAGGGAAGAAAGGGGAAACCCGCUUUCAGAUGGGCCCGCGUCCCAUCAGCUAGUUGGUAAGGUAAAGGCUUACCAAGGCGACGACGGGUAGCCGGUCUGAGAGGAUGUACGGCCACACUGGGACUGAGAUACGGCCCAGACUCCUACGGGAGGCAGCAGUUGGGAAUCUUAGGCAAUGGACGAAAGUCUGACCUAGCGACGCCGCGUGAGGGAAGAAGGCCUUCGGGUUGUAAACCUCUGUCAUGGGGGAAGAAGGAAGUGACGGUACCCCAAGAGGAAGCCCCUGCUAACUACGUG
rnacentral:rRNA from 1 species